rnacentral:lncRNA from 1 species
GCUACGUCUAUCAUGGUUCUGAAUUUGCUUUUGGAUAAGUGCUAAAUAAUUAUAAACCAUGCUUCUAUAUCAAUUAAUUCAAUUUUAAUUAUUGAUACUUCAAAAAAGUCUUACCUCCUCUAUUUUUGCUCGUACAGUUUGUUUCCAAAAGCAUGGCAUGGCGCUUCCUCUUCAGUCUGUGUCUGCAGUUAAAAUUUUUCCUUCUCCUUGAUGGAUUUGAGGUAGCCAUCCCCUUUCAGUCAGUCUUCAUUACAAAAGAAUCUUGGGCUACUUUGUUUCUAUUUUAUGUUGGGUUCUGUGCUUCAUUUCUUUGUAUACUUCCAGUGUAGCCUCAACCAUUUCUUUAAAACUGUUUCUCAGUCUGUUUGAUCUUCUAGUAAAGCAUACAGUUGGGAAGGGGUAAAGCUGUGAACUCAAACUUGAAUUCUUAGAAUUAUUGGGAAAAAUAAGUUCCUCAGAUCAUUCCCACUCAGGGUUGUAUUUUAUUUUGGAAAUGUGUGCUUCGGUCUUAUGGUUCAAAAGAUUCAUGAUUUACAAAGUCCUCAUAACACAUUUCACACAAUUUUCAUAGAAAUGUGGCUGCCAGAGGCCUGGUACUUCCUGGGGACCGGCAUAGAUUUGCACCACAGUAGUCAUUAAGUUAAAACUCACGCUCUUACUGAGCCAAGUUGGAGUUGAGACUCUAGCAUGAUAUUCCAGGUGGUACCAUCAGCCCCUGAGGGGGCAUGUGAGCUAAAACUUCUGCUGUCUCUGGAUUAGGCUUUGCUUUGCCUCACCUGAGUGCAUCAUUGUUUCAGUGCUCAUAUAAAUGAAUUAUUAUAUGCUUCAAAUAUA